rnacentral:rRNA from 1 species
UACGUAGGGUGCAAGCGUUAAUCGGAAUUACUGGGCGUAAAGCGUGCGCAGGCGGUUUUGUAAGUCAGAUGUGAAAUCCCCAGGCUUAACCUGGGAACUGCAUCCGAUACUGGAUGGCUUGAAUCCGGGAGAGGGAUGCAGAAUUCCAGGUGUAGCGGUGAAAUGCGUAGAUAUCUGGAGGAAUACCGGUGGCGAAGGCGGCAUCCUGGACCGGCAUUGACGCUGAGGAGCGAAAGCUAGGGGAGCAAACGGG